GACGAACGCUGGCGGCGUGCCUAAUACAUGCAAGUUGAGCGCUGAAGGUUGGUACUUGUACCAACUGGAUGAGCAGCGAACGGGUGAGUAACGCGUGGGGAAUCCGCCUUUGAGCGGGGGACAACAUUUGGAAACGAAUGCUAAUACCGCAUAAAAACUUUAAACACAAGUUUUAAGUUUGAAAGAUGCAAUUGCAUCACUCAAAGAUGAUCCCGCGUUGUAUUAGCUAGUUGGUGAGGUAAAGGCUCACCAAGGCGAUGAUACAUAGCCGACCUGAGAGGGUGAUCGGCCACAUUGGGACUGAGACACGGCCCAAAAUCCUACGGGAGGCAGCAGUAGGGAAUCUUCGGCAAUGGACGAAAGUCUGACCGAGCAACGCCGCGUGAGUGAAGAAGGUUUUCGGAUCGUAAAACUCUGUUGGUAGGGAAGAACGUUGGUGAGAGUGGAAAGCUCAUCAAGUGGCGGUAACUACCCAGAAAGGGACGGCUAACUACGUG
rnacentral:rRNA from 1 species